UAAUCGAGGCUAAGCUGCAAAUAAACAUUAGACGCCGUGGUUGAAAUCCCUCCCUGAGGAACCGCCACGUAAAAUAAAGCUGAGAGAUCAGAUUCAUUCUGUCCCUAUCUACUAUCUAGCGAAACCACAGCCAAGGGAACGGGCUUGGAAUAAUUAGCGGGGAAAGAAGACCCUUUUGAGCUUGACUCUAAUCUGGCAGUGUAAGGAGACAUAAGAGGUGUAGCAUAAGUGGGAGAUAUUAGAUUUCGGUUUGGUAUCGACAAUGAAAUACCACUACUCUUAUUGUUUCCUUACUUACUUGAUUAAAUGGAACGUGUAUCAUUUCCUAGCCAUUAUACGGAUAUAUUUAUUAUAUCUUAUGGUAUUGGGUUUUGAUGCAAGCUUCUUGAUCAAAGUAUCACGAGUUUGUUAUAUAAUCGCAAACAAAUUCUUUAAUGAGAAAAUGCAUUUAUGUAUUUUCAAUUUGAAAAUUUGGUAUAACUCCAAUUACUCAGGUAUGAUCCAAUUCAAGGACAUUGCCAGGUAGGGAGUUUGACUGGGGCGGUACAUCUCUCAAAUAAUAACGGAGGUGUCCCAAGGCCAGCUCAGUGCGGACAGAAACCACACAUAGAGCAAAAGGGCAAAUGCUGACUUGAUCUCGGUGUUCAGUACACACAGGGACAGCAAAAGCUCGGCCUAUCGAUCCUUUUGGUUUAAAGAGUUUUUAACAAGAGGUGUCAGAAAAGUUACCAUAGGGAUAACUGGCUUGUGGCGGCCAAGCGUUCAUAGCGACGUCGCUUUUUGAUCCUUCGAUGUCGGCUCUUCCUAUCAUUGUGAAGCAAAAUUCACCAAGCGUUGGAUUGUUCACCCAUGCAAGGGAACGUGAGCUGGGUUUAGACCGUCGUGAGACAGGUUAGUUUUACCCUACUAAUGACAAAACGUUGUUGCGACAGCAUUCCUGCGUAGUACGAGAGGAACCGCAGGUACGGACCAAUGGCACAAUACUU
rnacentral:ncRNA from 1 species